UAACAAUUCUCGCUCCGGCGUGAUGCGUAUACCCUGCACUUUGAGCACCUUUUAUACUCCCCCCGGCGGGGCAACCCGCCGGACGGGACAACCACAAAACCCUUUGCAUUAGAAAUCAUGUCGGUACAAAACAAAAUAAAUUAAAACUUUCAACAAUGGAUCUCUUGGCUCUGGCAUCGAUGAAAAACGCAGCGAAAUGCGAUAAGUAGUGUGAAUUGCAGAAUUCAGCGAAUCAUCGAAUCUUUGAACGCACAUUGCGCCCUUCGGUUAUUCCUUAGGGCAUGCCUGUUCGAGCGUCAUUUCAACCUUCAAGCUCACCUUGGUGUUGGGUGUUUGUCCCGCCCCCCGCGCGUGGACUCGCCUCAAAUUGAUUGGCAGCCGCAUCCCCCCGCCGCGAGCGCAUCACAGUCGCGCUUACGACGUGGGUGGGUCGGCGAUCCAUAAGCCUAUUUCAACGUCUUGACCUCGGAUCACGUAGGGAUACCCGCUGAACUUAAACAUAUCACUAAGCGGAGGAAUAGAAACCAACAGGGAUUG
rnacentral:rRNA from 1 species